AGCUUGUGCUGAUUACGUCCCUGCCCUUUGUACACACCGCCCGUCGCCACUACCGAUUGAAUGGCUUAGUGAGACCCUCGGAUUGACGUUCAUCGGCUGUAAAAGGCUCUUGUCUGUUGAAAAGUUGGUCAAACUUGGUCAUUUAGAGGAAGUAAAAGUCGUAACAAGGUUUCCGUAGGUGAACCUGCGGAAGGAUCAUU
rnacentral:rRNA from 1 species